rnacentral:rRNA from 1 species
AUGAACGCUGGCGGCGUGCCUAAUACAUGCAAGUCGAGCGAACAGACGAGGAGCUUGCUCCUCUGACGUUAGCGGCGGACGGGUGAGUAACACGUGGAUAACCUACCUAUAAGACUGGGAUAACUUCGGGAAACCGGAGCUAAUACCGGAUAACAUGUUGAACCGCAUGGUUCAACAGUGAAAGACGGUCUUGCUGUCACUUAUAGAUGGAUCCGCGCCGCAUCAGCUAGUUGGUAAGGUAACGGCUUACCAAGGCAACGAUGCGUAGCCGACCUGAGAGGGUGAUCGGCCACACUGGAACUGAGACACGGUCCAGACUCCUACGGGAGGCAGCAGUAGGGAAUCUUCCGCAAUGGGCGAAAGCCUGACGGAGCAACGCCGCGUGAGUGAAGAAGGUCUUCGGAUCGUAAAACUCUGUUAUUAGGGAAGAACAAAUGUGUAAGUAACUAUGCACGUCUUGACGGUACCUAAUCAGAAAGCCACGGCUAACUACGUG